GACGAACGCUGGCGGCGUGCCUAACACAUGCAAGUCGAACGGAAAGACCUCUUUCGGGGGGUACUCGCGUGGCGAACGGGUGAGUAUCACGAGUGUAACCUGGUCUUGACAUUAGGAUAACUUCAGGAAACUGGGGCUUAUACCGGAUAGGGGCACCUGCAGCAUGGUGGGGGUUGGAAAGUUUCGGCGGUUGGGGAUGGUUCGGCGGCUUACCAGCUUGUUGGUGGGGUAGUGGCUUACCAAGGCCUUGACUGGUAGCCGGCCUUGGAGAGUGACCAGCCACCAUGGCACUAAGGUACGGACCAGACUCCGAUGUUAGGCAACGGGAGGAAGUAUUGCGCAAUCGGUGGAGGCGCGAUGAAGAAGCGCUGUGGGUGGAAAGACGUCUUUGGGGGGAAGAACAUCUUUCGCUCAAAUCGAAGCUUUGUGUGACGGUAGUGGGAAAAGAAGCACCGGCUAACUACGUG
rnacentral:rRNA from 1 species